rnacentral:pre_miRNA from 1 species
UUUUUUUUUUUUCCUCGGCAGUUAACUGCAGCCGGAUUUCUAAAACUUCGGCAGUUAACUGUCGAUGGGGUA